UACGUGAGGUGGCAAGCGUUGUUCGGAAUUAUUGGGCGUAAAGGGCGCGUAGGCGGUCGGUUAAGUCAGCUGUGAAAGCCCUCGGCUCAACCGAGGAAGUGCGCCCGAAACUGCAGAGCUUGAGUGCCGGAGAGGAUGGCGGAAUUCCCCAAGUAGAGGUGAAAUUCGUAGAUAUUCGCAAGAACACCAGUGGCGAAGGCAGCCAUCUGGACCGACACUGACGCUGAGGCGCGAAAAGCGUGGGGAGCAAAC
rnacentral:rRNA from 1 species